rnacentral:piRNA from 1 species
AGCCAGUUAGUGGAAGGGAUUUGC